rnacentral:rRNA from 1 species
UACGUAGGGUGCAAGCGUUGUCCGGAAUUAUUGGGCGUAAAGAGCUCAUAGGCGGUCUGUCGCGUCUGCUGUGAAAUCCCAGGGCUUAACCCUGGGCCUGCAGUGGGUACGGGCAGACUAGAGUGCGGUAGGGGAGAUCGGAAUUCCUGGUGUAGCGGUGAAAUGCGCAGAUAUCAGGAGGAACACCGGUGGCGAAGGCGGAUCUCUGGGCCGUAACUGACGCUGAGGAGCGAAAGCAUGGGGAGCGAACAGG